AGGGGGGUCGCAGAAUUCGGGACCUAACGAUGUUCGCUUCGUCACAUGAACGGGAGCGGACGAUUCCCUCGUCUCUCCCUUUUCGGGGAAUGGCUGCAAUCACAAGCAAGUGAUUGAAUGAGUGGGGGCUCCGAAAGCACAUGCGGGAUAAGCAGGUGUUUCAGGAGACGGUCUAAAAAUGGGUCCGGUCCAGAAAGAAAAGAAAAGAGAACUCUCAACAAGCUGGAACUAAUCAAGAUCAAUAGGAAGAGGAGGAAGAGGAUCAAAUCAAAAAGCUUAUGACGAGCAUCUAUUUGAAUCGAU
rnacentral:misc_RNA from 1 species